UAGAGUUUGAUCCUGGCUCAGAACGAACGCUGGCGGCGUGGAUAAGACAUGCAAGUCGAACGGGAACUUUCGCUGUAGCAAUACAGUGGAAGUUCUAGUGGCGAACGGGUGCGUAACACGUGGGCAAUCUGCCUUAAAGUGGGGGAUAGCUCGGCGAAAGCCGGAUUAAUACCGCAUGUGAUGAGAGUAGACAUCUAUUCGAAAUCAAAGGUGGCGCAAGCUACCGCUUUUAGAGGAGCCCGCGGCCUAUCAGCUAGUUGGUGAGGUAACGGCUCACCAAGGCUUUGACGGGUAGCUGGUCUGAGAGGACGACCAGUCACACUGGAACUGAGACACGGUCCAGACACCUACGGGUGGCAGCAGUCGAGAAUUUUUCUCAAUGGGGGAAACCCUGAAGGAGCGACGCCGCGUGGAGGAUGAAGGUCUUCGG
rnacentral:rRNA from 1 species